CUAGUAAUGGCAGGUCAGCAUACUGCCGUGAAUACGUUCCCGGGCCUUGUACACACCGCCCGUCACACCAUGAGAGUUGGGAAUACCCGAAGCCUGUGAGCUAACUAUACGAGGCAGCAGUCGAAGGUAGAAUCAAUGAUUGGGGUGAAGUCGUAACAAGGUAGC
rnacentral:rRNA from 1 species